rnacentral:rRNA from 1 species
GAUGAACGCUGGCGGCGUGCCUAACACAUGCAAGUCGAACGGAGUUCUUAAGGAAUGCGACUUCGGUCAAAUGACUUUUGAACUUAGUGGCGGACGGGUGAGUAACGCGUGAGCAACCUGCCUUUCAGAGGGGGAUAACAUUUGGAAACAGAUGCUAAUACCGCAUAAGAUUACAGUACCGCAUGAUACAGUGAUCAAAGGAGCAAUCCGCUGAAAGAUGGGCCUCGCGUCCGAUUAGAUAGUUGGUGAGGUAACGGCUCACCAAGGUCGACGAUCGGUAGCCGGACUGAGAGGUUGAACGGCCACAAUUGGGACUGAGACACGGCCCAGACUCCUACGGGAGGCAGCAGUGGGGGAACUAUUGGCACAAUGGGCGAAAGCCUGAC